AUGAAAGCUGCAGCUAUGAGAAUUGCAAAGGAAAAGGUUUUUGCGGCCCAAAGAGAUGCAACACUGGAGCAAAGGUAUCAGUCCCCUGAGAUGCAAGCUGCUGCAGUGCUUGCCAGGAGAGAAGCAGAGAAGGCAAAGAAAGAAGCUGAGAAGACAAAGAAAAGAGAAGAAGCACUAGCAAGGAAAGAAGAAGAGAUGGCAAAGAAGAGAGCAGAAGCAAUAGGACUGAGGGAAGAAGAGAAGGCAAGGAAGAGAGCAGAAGCAGUAGCAAAGAAAGAAGAAGAGAAGGCAAGAAAAGCACAACAAAUGGCAGUAGAGAUAGAAGAAAGGAGGAAGGCUACAAUUGCAAGGAGAGAAGCACAUGAACAAGCAAAGCAGAGGGAGGCUGAGGAGAAGUUAGCAGCAGCACAAGCAAAAAAGCAGCAAGCAGCAACAAAGAGGGCUGCUUCUGGACAAGCCAAAAAGAAAGAAGCAGCAACAAAGAAGCCAAAGAGGGUGAACAUGUUUGAUGAACUGAGAUGA
rnacentral:rRNA from 1 species